rnacentral:rRNA from 1 species
GUGUCAGCAGCCGCGGUAAUACGUAUGGGGCAAGCGUUGUUCGGAGUUAUUGGGCGUAAAGGGCGUGUAGGCGGCUCAUCAAGUCUGGUGUGAAAUUGCAGGGCUCAACCCUGCAGGUGCGCUGGAAACUGGUGGGCUAGAGUUCUUGAGGGGAAGCUGGAAUUCCAGGUGUAGGGGUGAAAUCUGUAGAUAUCUGGAAGAACACCGGUGGCGAAGGCGAGCUUCUAUCAGAGGACUGACGCUGAGGCGCGAAAGCGUGGGGAGCAAACAGGAUUAGAUACCCUGGUAGUCCACGCUGUAAACGAUGUGCACUAGGCGUGGGGCACGUACGUGCUCUGUGCCGUAGCCAACGCGAUAAGUGCACCGCCUGGGGAGUAUGCUCGCAAGGGUGAAACUUAAAUGAAUUGACGGGG